rnacentral:ncRNA from 1 species
CGCCGAACGGAAGCCGUGGGUGCCUCGCUGUCGCGAGGAAAAAGGGAAGCCGGUGUGAAUCCGGCGCGGUCCCGCCACUGUAACCGGGUCGUGGUGCCCCCAAUGCAGCGGUCACUCUCCCUCGCGUGGGAGGGGAAGGCCGGGGGCACCGCGGAUGCGCCACCUGGCGUCAUCCGCGCCCGGGAGCCAGGAGACCUGCCCAUCGGUGCAAAGCGAG